rnacentral:lncRNA from 1 species
CACUUCUUGGUGGAGUAGAAAUCAGUUGAGAACCCAUUCCUUGUGAAAGCUUGGUGCACUGCCAGUGAAUCAUUUUGAGAGUCUACUCAUUGACAAGUUUCAUGUUGGGAAGUAUAAAUACUCUGUUUCAGAUUUCUCAGAGGAGAGUCAUUUUGUAGGCCUUUCUGAAGAUUGAAUCCCUGCCUCCACAAAACAAGUCAUGUUAAGUAAGGCAGCAGCAUUUAGGAGCCUAAUGAAUGUGCAUACACAAGCAUGAAGACACACUUGUAAGCUGGCACUGAUACAGGAUAAAAAAAACAUCACAUCCUGGAACAGAGAGACCAUGGCCCAGUGGUUGGAUCAUAGAAAAACACAAAGUAAAGAAAUCUAAAACUAAUCUCGAGGAUCACAGACCAAAUCCAGUUCUGGCGUAGUUGUUCUCAAGCCAGUGAAGUUACUACAGGGAUGAAUUUGACCCAUUUAAAGCUUUUC